rnacentral:rRNA from 1 species
ACGAACGCUGGCGGCGUGCUUAACCCAUGCAAGUCGCACGCUGAAGCUUGGUGCUUGCACUGGGUGGAUGAGUGGCGAACGGGUGAGUAAUACGUGAGUAACCUGCCCUUGACUCUGGGAUAAGCCUGGGAAACUGGGUCUAAUACUGGAUACGACAUGUCACCGCAUGGUGGUGUGUGGAAAGGGUUUUACUGGUUUUGGAUGGGCUCACGGCCUAUCAGCUUGUUGGUGGGGUAAUGGCUCACCAAGGCGACGACGGGUAGCCGGCCUGAGAGGGUGACCGGCCACACUGGGACUGAGACACGGCCCAGACUCCUACGGGAGGCAGCAGUGGGGAAUAUUGCACAAUGGGCGGAAGCCUGAUGCAGCGACGCCGCGUGAGGGAUGACGGCCUUCGGGUUGUAAACCUCUUUCAGCACGGAAGAAGCGAAAGUGACGGUACGUGCAGAAGAAGCGCCGGCUAACUACGUG